UUCCCGUAGGGGUGCCUGCGGAGGGAUCAUUACUGAGUUACCGCUCUAUAACCCUUUGUGAACAUACCUACAACUGUUGCUUCGGCGGGUAGGCCGUCCCCUGAAAAGGACGCCUCCCGGCCCGGACCGGACCCCCCGCGGGACCGGACCCGGCGCCCGCCGGAGGAUAACCAAACUCUAUUGUAACGACGUUUCUUCUGAGUGGCAUAAGCAAAAUGAUCAAAACUUUUAACAACGGAUCUCUUGGUUCUGGCAUCGAUGAAGAACGCAGCGAAAUGCGAUAAGUAAUGUGAAUUGCAGAAUUCAGUGAAUCAUCGAAUCUUUGAACGCACAUUGCGCCCGCCAGCAUUCUGGCGGGCAUGCCUGUUCGAGCGUCAUUUCAACCCUCAAGCUCUGCUUGGUGUUGGGGCUCUACGGUCGACGUAGGCCCUCAAAGGUAGUGGCGGACCCUCCCGGAGCCUCCUUUGCGUAGUAACAUUUCGUCUCGCACUGGGAUCCGGAGGGACUCUUGCCGUAAAACCCCCCAAUUUUCCAAAGGUUGACCUCGGAUCAGGUACGAAGGCCCCCAG
rnacentral:rRNA from 1 species